AACCCUAGUUUCUUCUCCGGCGGUUGGCGGAGGGUUGUCUCCAAGAAUCCUUCACAUUCUCGUGAUCUUCUCGACGUGGAGAGCACAUAGACGCGAAGAAGGCGCUGCGAUUUCGAGUCUCGUCGGAACCCUAGAAGCCUCUUCUCUUCUCGGUUGUAAGUCCAAGCAAAUCCCGGUCUAGUGAAAAUACUAAAGAAGUAUGACAAGAGAACAGGAGCACUUAUCAGGCAGCCCUUCAUCGAAAAGAAUGCGACGGACAAAAUGGAGUGCCAAAGCCGGCACAAUCAGGUGGGAGGGUUCCGGAGUUGGAGGAGAUUAAAUAUAUGCAGAGCUUAUACAUGAAGAGCACCGUAGCAGCGCUGCGGUCCUUGAAACAGAUUAGGAGCAAAAGUUCAACAGUCAAAACAGAUUAGA